rnacentral:sRNA from 1 species
CUGAUAGCCCUGGAGACCAAAGCUCCCAUUUAUUUCCAGAACAGGUACAGUCCCAGCAACACAGGGCAAGCUGCCCCUUUACUGCCCCACCAAUGUGCCAAUCCUGACCUGGUGCGACCAUAUCUGGAGUAAAAGGGUAAGUUCACUGUCCUUGGCCUCUCUGCUGAGAUUGU